GUGUCAGCAGCCGCGGUAAUACGGAGGGUGCAAGCGUUAUCCGGAUUCACUGGGUUUAAAGGGUGCGUAGGUGGGUUGGUAAGUCAGUGGUGAAAUCUCCAGGCUUAACUUGGAAACUGCCAUUGAUACUAUCAAUCUUGAAUACCGUGGAGGUCAGCGGAAUAUGUCAUGUAGCGGUGAAAUGCUUAGAUAUGACAUAGAACACCAAUUGCGAAGGCAGCUGGCUACACGAAUAUUGACACUGAUGCACGAAAGCGUGGGGAUCAAACAGGAUUAGAAACCCCCGUAGUCC
rnacentral:rRNA from 1 species